rnacentral:rRNA from 1 species
UACGGAGGGUGCAAGCGUUAUCCGGAUUCACUGGGUUUAAAGGGUGCGUAGGUGGGUCUGUAAGUCCGUGGUGAAAUCUCUAGGCUUAACCUGGAAACUGCCAUGGAUACUAUAGGUCUUGAAUACUGUGGAGGUCAGCGGAAUAUGUCAUGUAGCGGUGAAAUGCUUAGAUAUGACAUAGAACACCAAUUGCGAAGGCAGCUGGCUACACAAAUAUUGACACUGAGGCACGAAAGCGUAGGGAUCAAACAGG